AGGCAUGAGCCACUGUGCCCCACUGGUUGUCAACUAUUUUUUUCUGCCUCCUGAUUCUGUGGAAGACCCAGUGUCUCCCAGGAACAGUCUCAUCACAUGUACAGAUUCUUUCUUUUUUCUUUUUUAUUGAGACAGGGUCUGGCUGUUGUUGCCCAGGCUGGUCUCAAACUCCUGGGCUCAAAUGAUCCUCCUGCCUCGGCCUCUCUAAGUGCUGGGAUUACAGAUGUGAUUCUUAAAGUGGCAGGGUGAGGACACCUUCCUUUUUGGAAUGAAUGGAGGAUGGUGAGAGAGUCUGUGUAUUUUGACACCCAGCAACCUCUACCCCACUUGCCUGCAGGAUACAGCUCAGUCUCCUCUGUCUGCAUUUUGGU
rnacentral:lncRNA from 10 species